CUCUAGCGCAUUACAGCUAAGUGUUAGUCUAUGAAUGUAAUAUAACAGUGGUUUAAAAUCAACAGAUUGUAACAAAAGUCCCUCACAGGAGACAAAGCUGGUGCCGUGAUCUCUAUUGCAUUAAUGAGACAAAUGAGGAUAGGAAACAUCAUGUGGCUUCCCAGGGCUCCAUGGCAGGGGCGUGGCAGGGGGGAUUUGAGUCCAGGCUCCUACUCCAGUGCUGACCUUUCCCGUCACUUUCCUGCUGCCCAGUGUGAGCUCUAUCCUGUCCAGAGUCAUGAAGUAUUAGAGCACAUGGAUGUCUUAUAGAUGAUCUUGUCCAAGUCAUUCAUUUUAGAAGAGCUGAUGGAACUUCAGAGAGGUUAAAUUCACCUGUUGCAGGUCACCUAUCUCCUUAGUGACAAGUUUGAGAUUACAGCCCAACUUCAAGUCACACUGACUCUUGUGAUUAUAAGUGAAAUCAUACUUGGCCACUCAUUCCUGAGCAAGAUGCCUGUUUCUGAAAUUAGUCUCUAGAGUACCAACUUUUCAGGAGAAAAGAUGGUACCUUACUUACCUUCAAGAGCAAAGCCUUUCCCAUGUUUCAUAAGUGUUUCUUGGCAGCCUAACUGACUCAGUGACUGAUUAAAGGAAAGACUGAAGGA
rnacentral:lncRNA from 10 species